rnacentral:rRNA from 1 species
UACGUAGGGGGCUAGCGUUGUCCGGAUUUAUUGGGCGUAAAGAGCGUGUAGGCGGCCAGGUAGGUCUGGUGUGAAAACUCGAGGCUUAACCUCGAGAUGUCAUCGGAAACCAUUUGGCUAGAGUCCGGAAGAGGAGAGUGGAAUUCCUGGUGUAGCGGUGAAAUGCGCGGAUAUCAGGAAGAACACCAAUGGCGAAAGCAGCUCUCUGGGACGGUACUGACGCUGAGACGCGAAAGCGUGGGGAGCGAACAGG